rnacentral:rRNA from 1 species
UAGAGGAAGUAAAAGUCGUAACAAGGUUUGCGUAUGUGAACCUGCGGAAGGAUCAUUA